GUACCUGGUCUCUGUUUUUAUGGACAAAAAGAGUUCAGCCUCUCACUCGGCAUGAUCUUUUCUGCAGUAUUUUCGUAUGAAGAAACUGGCCCAGAGAGGUGAAACAACCCAGCCGAUGUCAUGUCGUAGCUAAGAUGACAGCUGUUGGCCUGUACCUCGGCCCUCAAGUUUCCCAUGCAAUGUGCUUCCUACUAUUCAUUGUUGCCCCGUCUCUAGUUUAUGUAUUUCAGAAAAUAUGACACAAAUUGUGAAAAUGGUAUACAGCAGCUCAGCUUUGGGAAACGUGAGUCCUGUCUGCUUAUGGAUGUAUCGAUUCAUGGGUAUUACACUUGUCUCCCAAGUUGCUUGCUGAUGCUUUCAAGGUCAGGUAAUAACAUUCUCCAAGGAACUAAGCGGAGUGGCUGUCCUCAUUUCUCCCCUGACCUGCAGGCUGGCUGGCUGGUUGCCUUGCUUCUGGGAGAUGGCCAGGCAGCCUGUUGCUCCCUGUGCCCCUCACCGACCAGGCAGCUCACUCCCUUUGUGGCAGCCUCAUGUCAAAACCCAUCAGAAUAAGAGACUAUUAAUGAGGAUGGGAAGAGACAGAGAAAAGAGGGAAACACCACAGUAAGAUAAAAACAGAUCAAUAGUGAAGCUAAACAGAGCAAGAGGUUCUGAAAGCAAUUCAGGAGCUGUUAGCUUCUCAACAAACACAGGGUUUCUGAUAAUCUCAGAUGGACACAAAAAGGAGAGAGAUGGACAAAAAGCCAGAGAAGCACAUCAAUGGAAAGCAAUAAGGAGGCUUUACCCAGCCAGAACUCAUCCUCCACGUUCCCGAAGCCAACACGGUAAUCAGCCCAUUUCCGGAAAAAAUCAGUUUGGCCAUUCUGCCGCCUCUGGAAUACCUAUGAAGGAAAUAAAAAAACAAAAAACAAACAAACAAAAAAACAAAACCCAAAGAGAUGCUAAGGAAAAUAAACUGUGAUAAGUAAAAUUGAUAUAACUGGGUUUUAUAUCUGCAAUGACAAAGAUGUCCAAAGAAGGAACAUUUCAGAGCAGAGCUCAGUAUUUACACAGCAGUUUUUGUAGGAGACACUCAGAGCAUUUCUCUUGAAGUGUAGAGGCCCCUGAUGAAUAGGCUCCAGUGUGAUGUUGACACUAAUUUGCACCCCUGCAAUGUAGAAAGGACUCAGGAUACAUAUCAAGCCCUAAAUAUCAGGGGAAAUAGGCUUGGCUCUCAAACGAAUCUUUUGCACUACAGAGUGCAGUAGAAAGCAUUUCUCACCAAAAGAACAGGA
rnacentral:lncRNA from 10 species